rnacentral:rRNA from 1 species
GAUGAACGCUGGCGGCGUGCUUAACACAUGUAAGUCGAGCGAGUGAGUUCUUCGGAACGAUCUAGCGGCGGACGGGUGAGUAACACGUGGGCAACCUGCCUCAUAGAGGGGAAUAGCCAUCCGAAAGGAAGAUUAAUACCGCAUAAGAUUGUAGCUUCGCAUGAAGCAGCAAUUAAAGGAGCAAUCCGCUAGGAGAUGGGCGCGCGGCGCAUUAGCUAGUUGGGGAGGUAACGGCUCACCAAGGCGACGAGGCGUAGCCGACCUGAGAGGGUGAUCGGCCACAUUGGGACUGAGACACGGCCCAGACUCCUACGGGAGGCAGUAGUGGGGAAUAUUGCACAAUGGGGGAAACCCUGAUGCAGCAAUGCCGCGUGAGUGAUGACGGCCUUCGGGUUGUAAAGCUCUGUCUUCGGGGACGAUAAUGACGGUACCCGAGGAGGAAGCCACGGCUAACUACGUGCCAGCAGCCGCAGUAA